GUGUUAAGGAUAAGGUUGGAAAUCUCUCUUGAUAAGGGUAGAAAAGGUUCUAGUGACCAUUACAGCACAUACAUAAUUAAAGCAUUGCAACCUCCUCUGUGGGUUUUAACCUUAUUUUUAU
ensembl:snRNA